rnacentral:misc_RNA from 1 species
AACGCAUCUUGCACCUUUUGGUAUUCCAAAAGGUACACCUGUUUGAGUGUCAUGAAACCCUCUCAUUAAACAUUUUAUUUUUGAUUUGUUUAGUGGAUGUUGAGUGUUGCUGUACCUAUAGCUCACUUUAAAUAUAUAAGUCACUUUUCAAAUAAGUUGGAUUGACUUGGUGUAAUAAUUUUAUCAUCACAUCAAGGAAAGUAGUAAAACACUUGCCAUCUUGUUUGUUAAUAAGAGACUCCUAAAACCCAAUAUCUUAUUUUUAAGACCUCAAAUCAGGUGGGACUACCCGCUGAACUUAA